UAUCAAUAGACCAUAGUUAAACUUUGAUUACAUUUACUACUUUGUAAGAAGACAAUGAAAACCCUUAUCCCAAUGACCCAAACUGAGACAGCAGCAUGGGGCCAUGACUCACCUUGGGAUCUCUCCUGCCACCACCGCCAGAGGAGGGGUCUCGGCCCCACGCAGCCUGGCCUGGCCUUCGGCUUCCACCCUAUAAGGGAGACCCAAGAGACAAGGUGACACCCACAGUGAGACGCCAUCGACUGGGCUCCUCGGGCGGUCGGCGCUGCCCCGUUGGGCUCGAGGAUGGAAAGGCAGGAAGAGAAAGGCAUUCCUCCCCGCACGGCCACUGGGCAACCCAAGGGGCCCGCCCCACCCAACGAGGCCUCGCCAUCCCUCGGGGGGCCUCUAGGACCCGUCCCCUGGCUUUCGGUCUCUCUGGGCCGCGGAGGACCAGCUGGGCCCCUGUGCAGGACGUCCAAGAGACCUUCCUAGCCAGAGCUGUCCCAUCCCUGGGACGCCAGAGCCCUUCUGGACUGCUGGCCUCGCCCGCAUCUGCCGCCCACCCUCCACCAGCCCCUCGCACUGCCCUGCCCAGCCCAGCCCCGACAAGCCCUGGGAUGCUGCUCACACUGGCCUUCUGGAUCCAGAGACAACGCUGCCAUCCUCGCCUGCUCAUCCAGGAAGGAGCCUG
rnacentral:lncRNA from 1 species